rnacentral:rRNA from 1 species
AGUGAACGCUGGCGGUGGGCCUAACACAUGCAAGUCGAACGACCACACAGGAAGAUCUUGCUUUUACGGUUAGCGGCUGGCGGAUGGGUGACGCGUAGAUCAGAUUCCACUUUGUCGGGGAGGAUAUCGUAGGGAAACUGAUGCUACUACAUCAUAUGACCUACCGCAUAGUUCAGUAGUUAUUGGCGCUUUUCCCGUUUCUUUUAGAUGAUGCCGCAUUAGCUAGUUGGUGAGGUAAAGGCCUACCAAGGCAACGAUCCGUAGCUGGUCUGAGAGGAUGAUCAGCCACACUGGAACUGAGACACGGUCCAGACUCCUACGGGAGGCAGCAGUGGGGAAUCUUGGGCAAUGGGCGAAAGCCUGAUGCAGCAAUGCCGCGUGAGUGAAGAAGGCCUUCGGGUUGUAAAACCCUUUUAUUGGGAAAGAAAAACAGUGUGAUAAAAUCCCGAUGUUGUGACGGUACCUAAUGAGUAAGCACCGGCUAACUACGUG